ACUGCUCAGUAACACGUGGACAACCUGCCCUUAGGUUGGGUAUAAACCCGGGAAACUGGGUAUAAUACCCGAUAGGUCUCGAUUGCUGGAAUGCAUCGAGAUUUAAAGCUCCGGCGCCUAAGGAUGGGUCUGCGGCCUAUCAGGUAGUAGUGGGUGUAGCGUACCUACUAGCCUACGACGGGUACGGGUUGUGAGAGCAAGAGCCCGGAGAUGGAUUCUGAGACACGAAUCCAGGCCCUACGGGGCGCAGCAGGCGCGAAAACUUUACCAUGCGGGCAACCGUGAUAAGGAAACCCCGAGUGCCAGCACAGGCUGGCUGUCCGCCAGUUUAAACAACUGGCGAAGAAAGGGCCGGGCAAGACCGGUGCCAGCCGCCGCGGCAAUACCGGCGGCUCGAGUGGUGGCCGCUAUUACUGGGCUUAAAGGGUCCGUAGCUUGAUAAUAGGGUCCCUUGAGAAAUCCGCCGGCUUAACUGGCGGGCGUUCAGGGGAAACUUGUUUUCUAGGGACCGGGAGAGGUGAGGGGUACUGCCGGGGUAGGAGUGAAAUCCUGUAAUCCCGGUGGGACCACCUAUGGCGAAGGCAUCUCACCAGAACGGGUCCGACAGUGAGGGACGAAAGCUGGGGGAGCAAACCGGAUUAGAUACCCGGGUAGUCCCAGCUGUAAACUAUGUGCGUUAGGUGUGUCAGUGACCACGUGUCACUGAGGUGCCGAAGGGAAACCGUGAAACGCACCGCCUGGGGAGUACGGUCGCAAGGCUGAAACUUAAAGGAAUUGGCGGGGGAGCAC
rnacentral:rRNA from 1 species